rnacentral:lncRNA from 1 species
UCCCUCUCCGCCCAGCGUCCCAGCGCCAUCCUGGAGUCAGGUCCUUCAGGCGGCCUCGUUCCCACAAACCUCGGCGGAACAGGCGUUCGUUCUCUCCCAGACAGACUUAUGGAGGAACCACGCAAAGGACGCCCCUCCCAGGAUGAGGUGGGCAGCAAGGGAAAAAAAAGCUAAUUCUGAGGAAAGAACAGACCCCUUAAAAAAAAGAGUGCCAAGAGGAGGCUGGGACUUUGGGAUGGAGGAGGGGCAGAAAAGCCUCAGAGAGCGGCAGUGCAGGGUCUGUUCAGAGCUGGAGAGCAGAAUUCCAGGGAACAGUGCAGGCGGCCAGGGUGGGAAGCACUUGGGCCAGAAGCUGGAGGAGAACAUCCUCCAAACCCUCAGCCCGGAGCAGCAAGCCCAGCACCCGCCCGCGGGGCGCAGCACCCAGGAGGAAACGGAAGACUCCCAGCUCUGCUUUCAAGGUCGAAAGGUCACGGGGCGGAGCCAGGCAGAGGUCACAGCUCUCCAGGCCACACAUCGAGCUCCUAGCGGCGCCCGGGGCUCCCCCUUGUGGCGGAGACACGCAGGCACAGCGUCUGGACAUCUGGGGUCCAGGUGCCUUCCUGACACCCGAAAGGAGAGCGGGAGGCAGGGGUUCAAGCACACCCUCUUCUGUCCCCUGAGGUCUUUCUCCUCCCCCGGGGUCUUGGCUGCUAGGGGGAGAAACCUGUAUUUGGGUGCUUUUCACUGGGCAGAGCCCCCUGGACACCUGGAAAUAACACCUCCCCUGGGACUAAAGCCAUCCUCAGGUGUCACCUUGCACUCCAGCCACAUGCUGUUUUCCCUUUCUCAGCAACCAUCUGCUGAGAGCACUUGGGAGCCUGCUCUGCAGAAUUUCUGGACUGGAUAGGGAUCUCAGAAGUGAUGGGGAACUCACCCCCUCCAGGGACAACUGCAGAGUGAGGUGCUGCCCUUGUCGCCGUGUCUGUGGGGCCAGCCCCUGCCCUCCCCGACCCUGCUGGACCCUCCCUGCCCACUCACCAGCACACGCUCCCAUCCUGAGGAAGGGGAGGAAGAAGAAAGUAUUUUUUCUUUAAAAAUUGUCUGAUUAUAAGCAGAAAUCAUUAUAAUGAGAGCAAACACCUAUAUAGCACUGUGCAGCAAGCCUGUUCGAAGUCUUUUAGAUGCAUUAACUCAUUUAAUCCUCCUAACAUUCGCAAUGUAGAAAAUUUGUAAAACAAAAUUACAAG